rnacentral:rRNA from 1 species
UACGUAGGUGGCAAGCGUUGUCCGGAUUUACUGGGCGUAAAGAGCGCGCAGGCGGCUGGGCAAGUCCGAUGUGAAAGCUUCCGGCUUAACUGGAAAAUUGCAUCGGAAACUGCUCGGCUUGAAGGUGGGAGAGGGUAGCGGAAUUCCAGGUGUAGCGGUGAAAUGCGUAGAUAUCUGGAGGAACACUGGUGGCGAAGGCGGCAUCCUGGACCGGCAUUGACGCUGAGGCGCGAAAGCCAGGGGAGCAAACGGG